AUAUGCAGACCACGCCUACCUUCUUGCAAGCUGAGGCUCUUAGCUGCCGACAGGGUCUCAAGGCACUGGCUGUCUGUCCUGAAGCUCACUGUGAAGACCCUGAACUCACUGAUCCACCUGCCUCUGCUUCCCAAGAGCUAGGAUUAAAAGCCUGUGCUAUCACACCCAGCUUCCAGAAGAUUGCACUCAGGUCAUCAGACUUGGCAGCAAGCACCUGUACCCACUGAGCCCAUCUGCUGGCCCCUCUGCUGGGUUUCGUCAUCGUCAUCAUCGUCAUCGUCGUCAUCAUCACCAUCACCAUCAUCAUCCUCAUAAUCGAGGGCUGACUCCAAGAUCUUGUGCAUAUUAGGCUUCCAGGUGGGGAUACCAAGGCCCAGAGAAGCCGGGACAUGCCUUCUUGGCACCCUAACCUGUGGACACCCACCUCAGCGCUGCGGCUCCUGGCCUCCAUAGCUCUGCAGAGAGUCACCUGGGGCUCGAGCUCCCGUGUCCUCUCCUCCUUCUGCUGCAGGACCACCUUCAGCUCCUCAUGGAGCAGCUGCCGCUGAGCCUGGGGGUAUAAGAUGGAGGCCUGAGGCAAGGAGGGAUUGUCGGGUAGAGAUGGGGCUUGCCAGAGAGGUCGAGUGCAGGGAUGGCAUCAGGCGGGCGGAGAGUAGGGCCCCUCACCGCUUCUUGAGUGAUGGCCUUUUCUCCUGACAGGAGCCCCACUCGGGGUGAUGCACAGCUGUAAGCAGGAAUCUCACUCUUCCUUUGAGGUCUUGCUGCCUGCCAAGGAGAGAGAGACAAGGGGCGUGGGACAUCAGACAGACCCAGGGAAGAUAGAGAGGGGCAUGCGGAACCAGCCAGCUCUCACCUGAGGGUCACUUCCAGCUUCCUGGGCCUCCUGGGUCUGGGGCUCUAGGAAGAACAACACACACAGUAGUAUUAUCUCAUAUCCCCUGUGCUCGUUCUGACGAUUCUUUGUGCUCAAGUGCCUUACGGUUAUUUCCCAGGCCAGCCUGGAUAGCCUCCGUAGUGAGACACUGCCUCAAAAGCCUGAAUGCCGAGCCAGGAACGUUUGCCCGGUAGUACACACUGGCAGUCCCAUCAUGUCUGGUUUGUUCUGUGCUAGUGAGUCAAUCCCAGGGUUUUGCGCAUGCGAAGCUACCAUUUUACCACCUGAGCUACAUUCCUAGGCCUCGCUUUGAGUUUGAGACAGGGUCUUUGAACACAUUAGCCUCAAAUUCUCUAGGUAGCUGAAGAUGACUUUGAGCUAUUGCCCUCCUCCCACCCCAUUUCAGCCUCCCAAAUACCGGGGUCACAGGCAAAUGUCACCGUCUUUAGUUUACCAGACAGCUACUUUACUGAAAAUAUGCCGUCUCAGAGAAGCCAAGCAAAUUUGUACCGGUGUGGCACACAACCCAAGAAGAAGGCACAGAGAAGGCAGCCUCCAGCCGGGCCCUCCUGGGGACAUGGAGGAGGUGACUGUCUCUGAGCUUGGCCCCCACCUGGCAUGCCAGCCCGCCAACCCCUGCCACACAGGAAAAGGUCAGGCUCAUGCGGCACAUUCCCUCACACAAUGGCCAGUCUGCUGUGCCAGUCACAUUCUGCCCCUGCCCACCCGCCCACCCACCCACUGCCAUACAAUGGCCCUUCAUAGCUCGGCCCUGGAGCAAAGGAGAUCAGUCAGUAGAGUGCUUGCCUAGCAUGCACAAAGGCCCUGGGGUCAGUUCUCCAGAAUUUCCUAAACCAGGCAUGGUGGCACACAACGAUAAUCCCAGUAUUUGGCAGGUAGAGACAGGAAGAUGAAACAAUUCAAGGUCAUUCUUAGCUCCCUAGGCCAACCACAUGAAAUGGGUCUAUGCAACACAACAAACUUAGGUCACAAUUGGCUGAACUAGACAACCCUCUGGACGCAUCCACACAUGCUGUAAUCACACCCCCUCAAGCCCACCACUGGCCCCCAGUAUCUGAAAGCUCCUGUCAGCAACUCCUAGGAAUCCCAGAUUCUGUCUCUAAGCCCAGCCUCCCUUGUGAACCCUUUCGGCUCCUGCACACAAGCUGAACACCUCUCCUAAGAUGGCUUCCCUGUGAACCAGGCCCUGGCACAGGGACAGAGAUCAAGGCUUGGUGAGAAGUUUCCUGUCCAGAGUCACAAAGCCAGGAUGAGGCAGAGUAAAGACCUAUGCCCUUGGCCUCUACUCUACACCUAACUAAUUUGCGGAGCUGCUGGGGAGAGUUGAGGUGAGCAAGAGGAGUCAAGCUGAAUAAAUUCCAGAGGACCUUGUCGGUGCCAGGCCUGGCCGCGGGACACUAUUUUGCUGACAAGUAAAGGAAAGUUAAAGACAGACUGUCGUAAACUGGGUGUGGCCGGAGACUCCUGUAAUCAAAUAGGAUUAUGAGUUAAAAUGUAGCCUGAGCUACAUGAGACCCUGUCUCAAAAAUACUGAAAAAAUACUGGAAGGCAGGAAGAUUUAUGGUUUAUGUCCAGCAACAUGUUCUGGCUUCAUCCUGAACAUGACCAUC
ensembl:antisense Gm15541 predicted gene 15541